AUACCCUAUUAUUCCUUAUAUUAAAAAUUUUAUUACUUGAUUAGUAUAAAUGUAUAUUUUAAUUUAUGUUUGUAUUUGAAAUUUAAAAAGUUUGGCGGUGUUAUAUAUCCUUUCAGGGGAGCUUGCUUAUUAAUUUGAUAAUCCUCAUUAUAUACUUACUUUUUUUUGUAUAAAUAAAUAAUUAUUUAUCAGUUUGUAUAUUUCUGUCAUCAGUUUAUUUUGUAAAAUUUUUUUAAAUAAACUUAAUAAUAAAGAUUAUUAUUAUGUCAAGUCAAAAUGCAGCCAAUAGAAAAGGUUUAUAAAGUGAGCUACAGUUUAUAAUAUUUAAUCGGAUUAGUCUAUGUAAUUUAGUUAUGAAGUUGGACUUGAUGUAAUUAUUUAAUAGU
rnacentral:rRNA from 1 species